AGUGAACGCUGGCGGCAGGCCUAACACAUGCAAGUCGAGCGGCAGCGCGGGGGCAACCCUGGCGGCGCGCGGCGGACGGGUGAGGAAUUCGUCGGAAUCUGCCUUGUUGUGGUGGAUAACGUAGGGAAACUUACGCUAAUACCGGUUGCUACUUACGCGAGAAAGUGGGUGACCGCAAGGCCUCACGCAAAAAGAUGAGCCGCCGACCGAUUAGCUAGUUGUGAGGUUAAAGGCCCACCAAGGGGACGAACGGUAGCGGGUCGGGGAGGAUGAUCGGCCAACCUGGGACUGGGAAACGGCCCAGACUCCUCCGGGAGGCGCCAGUGGGGAAUAUUGGAAAAUGGCCGCAAGCUUGAUCAACCCAGGCCGCGGAUGUAAAGAAGGCCUUCGAGUGGUAAAGCACUUUUUAAGGGAAAGACAGCCGUGGAGCUAAUAACUUCGGGGGAUGACGGUACCGGAACAAUAAGCACCGGCUAACUACGUG
rnacentral:rRNA from 1 species